rnacentral:lncRNA from 1 species
ACUCAAAUUUAGUAAGAAUAAUGCCAAUUGGAGCACCAGAAAUGCACAGUAAAAAUCAAGUGCUCUCCAUGAUUCUUAUUCCCCUCCAGGUAAAUCUAACCCUCUUCCCACUGCUCCACUCCUGUGCAUCUCACCAUACAUCUGAAGUGCUGGAUAUUUAUGGCAUCACCAGGAUCUGGCCACAACCUCGGAAUCGGUACUGCACACCACAUUAG